CAGAAAUAUACCAGAAUAUACCUUCUCACAUUCAAAAAUACCGUAACUAUACCGAUGAAAAUGCGAACUUAGCCCACUGAAACCCUUAUAUUUAAACAGGGGAACAACUUGAGCUAAGCCGCGGAGAACUGUACUGUUUGUAAAGUCUUCAUGUAGAUUUAACCUUCCUCUUCCCCUACAAACAAAAUUACCCCGUUAGAUUUAUUAUUUUCGUAUAGUGUAUUUGAAUACACACUGGUCGAGAAUGGGUUAAUCGUUCCCUGCCUACGAUCAAAAAUCAUAUUCCCUGAUUUUUUUUAUAUUCGGUUGAAUAAAAUAUUGUGGGCUAGUUUCCGAUAUUAAUUACAAUAAAAUGAAAGCAACCAAAGUUUGGAUGUCCACAAAGUCGAAAUAUUUCUUAUAUCAUGCAAAUAUUUGUUUAAACAUAGCGAAAUUACAAAACAGCUGACUGCGUGUUGUUUAAUUAAAUAUUUUCUUUAUCCGAACUGAAUAAUCUUAUGUACAGCUUAAGCUUUAUUUCCCAUUUAAAAUGGAUGAAAGGGAACAAUCCCAGCUGACUGCCAGGUAACAAUGAUACCAUUGUUUUUCCCCCAACCCACUCUGACGACCCAAUCCCUAAUCGCGCUACCGUUACAACUACAUCGAGAGCCACGAGCUUCAUGUACUAGGCUUGAAAUAAAAUUUAUGUUUCAUUUGUUUUCUUGUUGCCCAAUUCUAUACUAUUAUAUUCUAUUGCCAGGUCAGCCAUAUAGCUGGUAAAUAUUUCGGCCACUAACUUUCGCUCUCAUUCUUAUCAGUGUGAUACGGAGAGGAAGUCGUGCAGAAACGAAGGCCGAGCUUUGAUUCGCCUACGCUGUUCUGCUGCACCGCCCUCAUCACCCUCUUUGAGCCCCCCACGCUACUGCAGCUCGCCACCCACAUUUCUCGCGACACUAACUACUUCGCUCUCGUUCUUUUCAGUGAUAUUGGGAGAGAUAAGACGCGCAGAAACGUAUGCCGGUUUCAAAGCAGAGGUUCGGGCCGCCCAUGGUCCUGCAUUCUUAUCACGGCAAAGUCCCCCUCAUGUGAAAAAUGGAAGAUUUCAAUCCGAGCUAUAAUUAAGUGGUAAUUUAGUUUUUGUUUAAUUAAAAACAGCAACUCAACAAAAAUAAUAUUCAACAACAAUGCAACAAAGGAAACAGCAAAUAAUAUUCAACGCUACAGAAUUAUGGGAGCAGGCCCUGGAGCCUGGCAAUCUUCUGCAAUCGCAGCAUGGUCUAAUAUCCAGUAAUUGCGUUCAUAGACUUCGUGUGCGAAUGUAUCUGCAAGGACUACGCGGAUGAUCGCGCUGGUGACUAGAUGGUCACUAGAGUGCCCUGCAGUCCCAUAUGCAUGAUUUGAAAUAGUAAGGCUAUGGGCAUUUUACGCUAAGAAGUUCCUGAUGACUCCAAACGAUCGGGGACCUUCUCCCUAUUAUGAGGAGGCGUGGCACUAUAGCGAUUUAAUAAUAAAUUGACUACAAAAUAA